CAUUCCAGAAGAAAAAGAAAAAGAAGAAGAAGGCAGAGCCGACGACAGUGUGAGGAGCCGGGGAACCAGGUGCAGGAUCUUAUUAGUGGAAUGGUGACCAUCCCAGGCCUCAGCCCUCUCUCUGCCUUCCGUGGGUCAGGACUGAAUUCUGAAUUUGCCCUCCCUUCACAGAAGACAGCAGCGAGCCUGAGGAUCCUGAUGUGGCCAGGCAGUGGGCUCGUAGGGGCCAGUCACAGGGGCGUGGCUCUGCCCUGGGCCCUCAGCCCACCUUCCUUCGCCAUGGGCACUUCAUAGAGAUGUGUGCAGUAUAUCUAUUUUUUUAAGUGACCUGCCUCCCUCCUUCACCUCCAGCACACCCCAGGGCCUCAGACCUCCCACUCCUGUGCUCUGCAGGCACAGCUGUUGCGUGCCACAUGGACUUCAGUUGAUCCUGAGACUUUGUCCUCUCCUGAGAACUCAAAAAUAAAGGAGUUAAAGGAAAGGCACCAGCUCCAGUGCAUCUGGGCCGGGUGCUGUGCAGUGGCUACUUGGAAGGGGUAGUGAGCUGGUGCCUGGCAGCAAAUGGGCAGUGCCUCAGCUUUCUCUCCUGGGACAAGCUUGGUACCCAGUGAGGAAGGUGUUGGGUUGCUGGGGCUGACUGGGCCGGACAGCUUCCUGGAGGAGGUGACAGCGAGCUCCUAGGAGCCAAGGGUUGCUCUUGGUGGUUUCUGGAGGCUGGAGUCGUUUAUAAAUCCCAGAGGAGAGAAAUGGCAGGGACCCUAGAAGCCAUGUUCAAGAGGCAGAGCUCUAGUGAGAGCAAGCUCUUGAGGGUGGUAGUGGAGAACAGGAGACACGCGGGGCACAGGAAAAACAAUUGGGAGCGAUGGUAAGGGCAGGAUGGGUCAGAGGCUCAUGGGGUACUACGUGAUAGCUGCUUCCUCCUGGAGUCCACAGAGGCCAAGCAGAAGAACUGGGGCUGAGGUUAUAGAGCCCCAGGUUGGCCCUUGGGGCCUGAGGCCACUCCCUCCCCUCCCACAAGUAUGCUGGUCCAGAGGUGGCAGAGAAGGGGCCUCAUUGUGCUGACCCACAAAAGUUUUUAAACUUCUAAAGUGGAGCAGUUUUACCAACAUUCUUGAUUUCUGGGUCCUCCAGCUUAAGUCAGCAAAUCUGGUGGGCGUGAGGGGUGUAACCUCCUGACAGCAGCGGGCUGGAGCUGAGGAUGGGCCGGAGGCCGGGCAUGAGCUCAGGAAGCCCUCUGCAGCCCCCACUUCCUGUCCAUUCUUGACACCAAGGCCCUGUGUCUGCUGCCAUCUGUCAUCACACUUGUGCUGUUCUUAGUAUAGAAAUGGAAUUGGGGACAUGGGAAAAUGGAAGCUGGACCAAGAUGAGACUGCUUAAAAAAUUACAAAAGUCUAUUUCUUAGAAGUAAAGAGUAUUUGAGUGUGUGAAACAUGGAACUAAAUGUGUCUGUAUCCAAAGACUGCAGCCCCGGCCCCACGGGCCUGUUUCUAGGCCCUUGGGCUGCAUUCCUGCGC